CGCCAGAGGAGAGAUGUCUGCC
rnacentral:misc_RNA from 1 species